UGCUUAACACAUGCAAGUCGAACGGUAACAGGCCUAGCUUGCUAGGUGCUGACGAGUGGCGGACGGGUGAGAAACGCGUAAGAAUCUGCCUAUAAGUGGGGGACAACCUUGGGAAACUAAGGCUAAUACCGCAUACGCCCGAGAGGGGAAAGGCUUCGGCCGCUUAUAGAUGAGCUUGCGUCAGAUUAGCUAGUUGGUGGGGUAAGGGCCUACCAAGGCGAAGAUCUGUAGCUGUUCUGAGAGGAAGAUCAGCCACACUGGGACUGAGACACGGCCCAGACUCCUACGGGAGGCAGCAGUGGGGAAUAUUGGACAAUGGGCGUUUCCUGAUCCAGCAAUGCCGCGUGUGUGAAGAAGGAGUUCUGUUUAAUGCAC
rnacentral:rRNA from 1 species